rnacentral:rRNA from 1 species
AUUGAACGCUGGCGGCAGGCUUAACACAUGCAAGUCGAACGAGUGGCGGACGGGUGAGUAAUGCUUGGGAAUCUAGCUUAUGGAGGGGGAUAACUACGGGAAACGGUAGCUAAUACCGCGUACCAUAGGCUGAGCCCAAGUGGGAUUAGGUAGUUGGUGAGGUAAAGGCUCACCAAGCCGACGAUCUCUAGCUGGUCUGAGAGGAUGACCAGCCACACUGGGCCUGAGCAAGGGCCCAGCCUCCUACGGGAGGCAGCAGUGGGGAAUAUUGCGCAAUGGGGGAAGCCUAACGAAGCCAUGCCGCGUGAAGGAAGAAGGCCUUCGGGUUGUAAAUUUCUUUAGGUAGGGAGACGUUAACUAAAAAAAAAGCACCGGCUAACUCCGUGCAAGCGGCGCGGUAAUUC